GUUUGUUCUUACUUGUUUGGCUGGGGUCCGAUGCUUGGAUUGCUCAUGCAAGUUGCGCUAUUCUCAGAUAUCCUAUCUUCUCCUGCUGCUGUAACCAUUCCACAAAGUCAGAACAGAUGCCUUUCAGAGAUAGACAUUCUUGUUGAAGGGUGCAUGCUCUUAUCCUGGUGGUGAUGAUGGUUCAACCAUAUGAUAUCCGGAACCCAUUAGCUCAUCUAAUCCAAAUGUGCGUAGCAGAGACCCAUUUAAGGGAGAAGUGCUCCCUACCGGAAAUUUCUUCGUUCACAAGCGGUGUCGGAUAACGCUCUCGUACAAGGGUAUCUCUGCCACUGUGCAUGAUUAGUAAAGACGCACAGCUCGAAUUGGUGCCUGCUUGUUGACCCCAGGGUGAAGACACUGGCUUAAAAUAAAAGGAAAUCAAUGACCACGGAAUGAUAUUCCUUAUGGGGAAAAGGACUUGGGGUUCAGGAUAAAAGUCAGAUUCUGGGGAAUGGAAUUUCAGAAUCUUAACUCAAACCCAAAGCAAUGGACGUAUUCUCAAGUCAAGAAUUUCUUUGUUAUUCUUUUCCUUUUCUAGGCCACGGAAAAUGGAUUCCGAACCCCAUUAUUCUUUUACCCUUUUAAGCUUCUUAACAACUUAAGUAAUUCUGAACGAUCAACAUGCAUAUGAUUUGUUUUCUUUCUCCUUCUGUGGACUCUCACCUGUAUAAUACCAAUAGAGUUUAAUUUAUAAUA